GGGGGCGGGGACGAUCAUCGCCGUGGCAACGCACGCCAUCCUGUCCGCGGACGCUCCCAGGAUCCUCCAGGAGUCAGUCAUUAGUCAGAGAGGAGAGGAGGAUGUGAAGUUAAAGAACAUGGGUUCUUGGCCCAGCGUUCUCAGUCCACCCCCGCCUCCGCUGUCCGCUCCUCUAGCGACAGCUUCGAACAGGUCCGUCGCGUCGCCCGAGAGAAGGAGAGAGAGAAACAGCUAAAAGCACAGGCCAGGAGAGAGCAGGAGAAACUACGUAGCCGUGACUACGAGGACUCUGUGGAGCAGCAGGGGAGGGGGCGUGUCCAGGAGGACACUCGCCGUCGCCAGGAGCAACUUUCGCCUCAACCCCUCCCGCCGACUCCCCACAGGCCCCUCCCACUCAACAGGCCACACCCUCGGCCGCAGCAGAACGCCAUGGACCAGCAGAGGGAGCUGGCGAGACGCCGCGAGCAGGAAAGGAGGAGGAGAGAGGUGGUAAUACUUUAUAGCAGUAAUACUACUAUAAUACUAACAUGUUAUACUAGUAUAGCAGGAGAGAGGUGGUAAUACUUUAUAGCAGUAAUACUACUAUAAUACUAACAUAAUAUACUGGUAUAGCAGGAGAGAG
rnacentral:lncRNA from 1 species